rnacentral:rRNA from 1 species
ACGAACCGUCCGAACGUUAUUCGGAAUCACUGGGCUUAAAGGGUGCGUAGGCGGCGCGGAAAGUUGGGUGUGAAAUCCCUCGGCUUAACCGAGGAACGGCGCCCAAAAUUACCGUGCUCGAGGGAGAUAGAGGUGAGCGGAACUUAGGGUGGAGCGGUGAAAUGCGUUGAUAUCCUAAGGAACACCGGUGGCGAAAGCGGCUCACUGGAUCUCUUCUGACGCUGAUGCACGAAAGCUAGGGUAGCGAACGGGA